GCCCUUUCGCUUCGACGCGGAGCGCACUAUAUUCGGUCCGUCUUCGCAAGAAGACUAUGGCGAUAAACAGGCUUCGAAAUAAACCAUCCGGACCCGGGGGCG
rnacentral:tmRNA from 1 species